AUUUAUUUAUUUAUUUAACUAAAAUGAAAAACUAACAAUAAGAUGGAGUGUAUAGAAUUAAAUUAU
rnacentral:sRNA from 1 species